CAGCAGCCGCGGGAAUACGAAGGGGGCUAGCGUUGCUCGGAAUCACUGGGCGUAAAGGGUGCGUAGGCGGCUUUGUAAGUAAGAGGUGAAAGCCCGGAGCUCAACUCCGGAACUGCCUUUUAGACUGCAUCGCUUGAAUCCAGGAGAGGUGAGUGGAAUUCCGAGUGUAGAGGUGAAAUUCGUAGAUAUUCGGAAGAACACCAGUGGCGAAGGCGGCUCACUGGACUGGUAUUGACGCUGAGGUGCGAAAGCGUGGGGAGCAAACAGGAUUAGAUACCCGGGUAGUCCCUGUCUCUUAUAC
rnacentral:rRNA from 1 species